GCCGGGUGUGGUGGCUCACACCUGUAAUCCCAGUACUUUGGGAGGCUGAGGCGGGUAGAUCGCCUGAGGUCAGGAGUUCGAGACCAGCCUGGCCAACAUGGUGAAACCCCGUCUCUA
ensembl:misc_RNA Metazoa_SRP Metazoan signal recognition particle RNA